rnacentral:rRNA from 1 species
GACGAACGCUGGCGGCGUGCUUAACACAUGCAAGUCGAACGGAAAGGCCCUGCUUUUGUGGGGUGCUCGAGUGGCGAACGGGUGAGUAACACGUGAGUAACCUGCCCUUGACUUUGGGAUAACUUCAGGAAACUGGGGCUAAUACCGGACAGGAGCUCCUGCUGCAUGGUGGGGGUUGGAAAGUUUCGGCGGGAGGGGAUGGACGGGCGGCUUAUCAGCUUGUUGGUGGGGUAGUGGCUUACCAAGGCUUUGACGGGUAGCCGGCAUGAGAGGGUGACCGGCCACAAUGGGACUGGGAUACGGCCCAGACUCCUACAGGGGGCAGCAGUGGGGAAUAUUACACAGUGGGCGCAAGCCUGAUGCAGCAACGCCGCGUGCGGAAUGACGGCCUUCGGGUUGUAAACCGCUUUCGCCUGUGACGAAGCGUGAGUGACGGUACUGGGUAAAGAAGCACCGGCUAACUACGUG